CCGCGGUAAUACGUAGGGUGCGAGGCGUUAAAUCGGAAAUUACUGGGCGUAAAGCGUGCGCAGGCGGGCUUUUAAGCCAGACGUGAAAUCCCCGGGCUCAACUGGGAAUGGCGUUUGGUACUGGAAGUCUGGAGUGCGGCAGAGGAGACUGGAAUUCCUGGUGUAGCAGUGAAAUGCGUAGAUAUCAGGAGGAACACCGAUGGCGAAGGCAGGUCUCUGGGCUGACACUGACGCUCAUGCACGAAAGCGUGGGGAGCAAACAGGAUUAGAUACCCUGGUAGUCCACGCCCUAAACGAUGUCAACUGGUUGUUGGGGGUUUGACACUCUCAGUAACGAAGCUAACGCGUGAAGUUGACCGCCUGGGGAGUACGGCCGCAAGGUUAAAACUCAAAGGAAUUGACGGGGACCCGCACAAGCGGUGGAUUAUGUGGAUUAAUUCGAUGCAACGCGAAAAACCUUACCUACCCUUGACAUGUCCUGGAGGCCCCUGAGAGGGGGCUGUGCCCGAAAGGGAACGGGAACACAGGUGCUGCAUGGCUGUCGUCAGCUCGUGUCGUGAGAUGUUGGGUUAAGUCCCGCAACGAGCGCAACCCUUGUCAUUAGUUGCUACAUUUAGUUGGGCACUCUAAUGAGACUGCCGGUGACAAACCGGAGGAAGGUGGGGAUGACGUCAAGUCCUCAUGGCCCUUAUGGGUAGGGCUUCACACGUAAUACAAUGGCGCGUACAGAGGGCUGCGAAGGGGCGACCUGGAGCCAAUCCCGAUAAAGCGCGUCGUAGUCCGGAUUGCAGUCUGCAACUCGACUGCAUGAAGUCGGAAUCGCUAGUAAUCGCGGAUCAGCAUGUCGCGGUGAAUACGUUCCCGGGUCUUGUACACACCGCCCGUCACACCAUGGGAGUGGGUUUCACCAGAAGCCGGUCGUCUAACCGCAAGGGGGACGCCGACCACGGUGAGAUUCAUGACUGGGGUGAAGUCGUAACAAGGUAGC
rnacentral:rRNA from 1 species